AGUGAACGCUGGCGGUAGGCCUAACACAUGCAAGUCGAACGGCAGCACAGUAAGAGCUUGCUCUUACGGGUGGCGAAUGGCGGACGGGUGAGGAAUACAUCGGAAUCUACUUUUUCGUGGGGGAUAACGUAGGGAAACUUACGCUAAUACCGCAUACGACCUACGGGUGAAAGCAGGGGAUCUUCGGACCUUGCGCGAUUGAAUGAGCCGAUGUCGGAUUAGCUAGUUGGCGGGGUAAAGGCCCACCAAGGCGACGAUCCGUAGCUGGUCUGAGAGGAUGAUCAGCCACACUGGAACUGAGACACGGUCCAGACUCCUACGGGAGGCAGCAGUGGGGAAUAUUGGACAAUGGGCGCAAGCCUGAUCCAGCCAUACCGCGUGGGUGAAGAAGGCCUUCGGGUUGUAAAGCCCUUUUGUUGGGAAAGAAAAGCAGCAGGUUAAUACCCCGCUGUUCUGACGGUACCCAAAGAAUAAGCACCGGCUAACCUCGUG
rnacentral:rRNA from 1 species